GAUGAACGCUAGCGGGAGGCCUAACACAUGCAAGCCGAGCGGUAUUGUUUCUUCGGAAAUGAGAGAGCGGCGUACGGGUGCGGAACACGUGUGCAACCUGCCUUUAUCUGGGGGAUAGCCUUUCGAAAGGAAGAUUAAUACUCCAUAAUAUAUUGAACGGCAUCGUUUAAUAUUGAAAGCUCCGGCGGAUAGAGAUGGGCACGCGCAAGAUUAGCUAGUUGGUGAGGUAACGGCUCACCAAGGCGAUGAUCUUUAGGGGGCCUGAGAGGGUGAUCCCCCACACUGGUACUGAGACACGGACCAGACUCCUACGGGAGGCAGCAGUGAGGAAUAUUGGUCAAUGGGUGCAAGCCUGAACCAGCCAUCCCGCGUGAAGGACGACUGCCCUAUGGGUUGUAAACUUCUUUUGUAUAGGGAUAAACCUACCCUCGUGAGGGUAGCUGAAGGUACUAUACGAAUAAGCACCGGCUAACUCCGUGCCAGCAGCCGCGGUAAUACGGAGGGUGCAAGCGUUAUCCGGAUUUAUUGGGUUUAAAGGGUCCGUAGGCGGACUUAUAAGUCAGUGGUGAAAGCCUGUCGCUUAACGAUAGAACUGCCAUUGAUACUGUAAGUCUUGAGUAUAUUUGAGGUAGCUGGAAUAAGUAGUGUAGCGGUGAAAUGCAUAGAUAUUACUUAGAACACCAAUUGCGAAGGCAGGUUACCAAGAUAUAACUGACGCUGAGGGACGAAAGCGUGGGGAGCGAACAGGAUUAGAUACCCUGGUAGUCCACGCCGUAAACGAUGCUAACUCGUUUUUGGGCUUUAGGGUUCAGAGACCAAGCGAAAGUGAUAAGUUAGCCACCUGGGGAGUACGCUCGCAAGAGUGAAACUCAAAGGAAUUGGCGGGGGCCCGCACAAGCGGUGGAUUAUGUGGUUUAAUUCGAUGAUACGCGAGGAACCUUACCAAGACUUAAAUGGGAAUUGACAGCUUUAGAAAUAGAGCUUUCUUCGGACAAUUUUCAAGGUGCUGCAUGGUUGUCGUCAGCUCGUGCCGUGAGGUGUUAGGUUAAGUCCUGCAACGAGCGCAACCCCUGUCACUAGUUGCCAUCAUUCAGUUGGGGACUCUAGUGAGACUGCCUACGCAAGUAGAGAGGAAGGUGGGGAUGACGUCAAAUCAUCACGGCCCUUACGUCUUGGGCCACACACGUAAUACAAUGGCCGGUACAGAGGGCAGCUACACAGCGAUGUGAUGCAAAUCUCGAAAGCCGGUCUCAGUUCGGAUUGGAGUCUGCAACUCGACUCUAUGAAGCUGGAAUCGCUAGUAAUCGCGCAUCAGCCAUGGCGCGGUGAAUACGUUCCCGGGCCU
rnacentral:rRNA from 1 species